UGGGGAAUAUUGCACAAUCGGCGCAAGCCUGACGCAGCCAUGCCGCGUGUGUGAACAAGGCCUUCGGGUUGUAAAGCACUUUCAGCGGGGUGGAAGGCGUUAAGGUUAAUAACCUUGGCGAUUGAUGUUACCCGCAGAAGAAGCACCGGCUAACUCCGUGCCAGCAGCCGCGGUAAUACGGAGGGUGCAAGCGUUAAUCGGAAUUACUGGGCGUAAAGCGCACGCAGGCGGUCUGUCAAGUCGGAUGUGAAAUCCCCGGGCUCAACCUGGGAACUGCAUUCGAAACUGGCAGGCUAGAGUCUUGUAGAGGGGGGUAGGAUUCCAGGUGUAGCGGUGAAAUGCGUAGAGAUCUGGAGGAAUACCGGUGGCGAAGGCGGCCCCCUGGACAAAGACUGACGCUCAGGUGCGAAAGCGUGGGGAGCAAACAGG
rnacentral:rRNA from 1 species